GUCAAGCUCGCGCCCGACGGUUCCCCUCGGGGAUCAAAAGGGAACGCGGUGAGGGCAGGCCUGCCAAGGAUCUGCGCGAUGCCGCGGCUGCCCCCGCAACUGUGAGCGGCGAGCCCUUCACCACCACGUCACUGGGUGUCACCACCCGGGAAGACGGUGAGAGGGCGGCGACCCGCGAGCCAGGAGACCUGCCGUCAGCCGUGGUCACACG
rnacentral:ncRNA from 1 species